rnacentral:rRNA from 1 species
CGGACGGGUGAGUAAUGCUUGGGAAUCUAGCUUAUGGAGGGGGAUAACUACGGGAAACUGUAGCUAAUACCGCGUAGUAUCGGAAGAUGAAAGUGUGGGACCUUCGGGCCACGUGCCAUAGGAUGAGCCCAAGUGGGAUUAGGUAGUUGGUGAGGUAAAGGCUCACCAAGCCGACGAUCUCUAGCUGGUCUGAGAGGAUGACCAGCCACACUGGAACUGAGACGCGGCCCAG